rnacentral:snoRNA from 1 species
AAUCUAUGUUGUGGACAUUGGCAAAGUAAAUCUUUGUAUCAUUCCCAAGCCUCUGAAUAGCAUUCCGAGUUUUAUUUUUGGAAAGUAGUGAUCUCAUCCCUUAACUU